rnacentral:rRNA from 1 species
AGCGAACGCUGGCGGCAGGCCUAACACAUGCAAGUCGAACGAACUCUUCGGAGUUAGUGGCGGACGGGUGAGUAACACGUGGGAACGUGCCUUUUGGUUCGGAAUAACUCAGGGAAACUUGUGCUAAUACCGAAUGUGCUCUUCGGGGGAAAGAUUUAUCGCCAUUAGAGCGGCCCGCGUCUGAUUAGCUAGUUGGUGAGGUAACGGCUCACCAAGGCGACGAUCAGUAGCUGGUCUGAGAGGAUGACCAGCCACACUGGGACUGAGACACGGCCCAGACUCCUACGGGAGGCAGCAGUGGGGAAUCUUGCGCAAUGGGCGAAAGCCUGACGCAGCCAGGCCGCGUGAAUGAUGAAGGUCUUAGGAUUGUAAAAUUCUUUCACCGGGGACGAUAAUGACGGUACCCGGAGAAGAAGCCCCGGCUAACUUCGUG